GAGCAUACGUCUUGGGGCUAAUUAUCCCCGGGUGGCAGAGAGAGGGAACGAAAAGCUGUUGAAGAUAAACGAGCGGCUCUCGACCGGAACAUGAGUUUGGAUACGAACCCGAGCCGGAGCAGGAGCACAAGGUCUCUAUAAAUGCGUGCAUGCGUACGUUCAUGAUUUCCAGUCGGUGGGAGGUUAGCUUUCGGUGAGAACGAUAGGCGUCCUCUUCCCUCUUCUUCUUUCCUUUCUUUCGCUCUUCUUCCUUUUCCUAUUCUUCUUGUUGUCCUCAAACUUGUGCAGUAUGCCUUAACCUCAUUAAAUCCGAUACAUCUUACAAUCGUCUAUAGUUGCGUAACUUCGAUAGUGAAUUGUUGUGAAUUUAUGUUGUUGAUUAUAUUCUUUCCGCCUAAAAACUAACGUUGUUUUGUAUACGUGAAAUAGACAAAAGUGUGGAAUUAAUUCAAAGUGAUAAACAAUUGCAGCUUGUAGGGAGUUUUAAAAUUACAUACGUUGUUUCAGUGAUCAUAGGAAGCAUAACAUCUCGAUUCGACGUUCAAAAUCGACGUGUAAGUCGAUAAAAUGCACACGCAGUAAAAUUACAAGAAUCGAUUAGUGGAACGAUAUUAAUAUUCGAAAUGGUGUUAAACGGAACGAAUUAACGCUCGCUUAGCAUUUGAACGUUGAAUUCGACAGCCUGAUAAUCACGUGCUUGCACGAAACGUCAGUUGCGCGUGCGAACAGUGAACAGUUGAACGAGCGUUCAUCACUGACAUUUCACUGGGAGAAACAAGAGAGUGCAAAUACUGUGUUCGUGAGUCAGUCGACAAGUGUACUUCUAUAAACAACUCCAAGGAUUCGAUCGGAGUAUCGAACUGCGUAAUUCGAGAACUGCCGCGACAAACGUCGAGUAAUCCUUUGUUUUAUACUGUUGACCUCGCGACGAUAACGUUGAACCGAUAUCCGCCGCUCCAGACGUAAUGCAUUAUGUAUACGACUGUUGAAUCAAAAAAGGAAAGAAUCUUUUAACGCGGUUCAUAAAAGUAUCAGAACACUUGCCAUACACAAUUGCUAUGUAUUAUAUUGUACGCGUUAUAUGAAACAUUUGUCUCAUAGCUACUUCGUUACAAUGCUAAUGAGAUUGUAAAAUAUGAAAAUAUAACGCACAUAAUACAUUCGUAAAAGAUUGCUAUACCAAUUACAUGUUUGAUCUCAAAUAUAUAUAUGGUGUACGAAAAUUUAUUUAAAAAACAGAAAAACAACGAAGAUUAUGAGAUGACAUGUAGCGAAUAUAUUGCUCAAUUUUAUAAAUAAGGAAGGAACAGAAGAGCGUCAUAGUUAUUGAUUUGGAAAAAUAAUCUUAUAUUUGUAUUUCGAAAAGAACUCUGUAGCGAAUUCAAAAUGUGGAAUAUUUUGGAGCAAUUUCUAUUACUAGGAUUACUGCUAGGUAUUAUAUAUUGUUUUUUUACGUCGACAUUCGAUUUUUGGAAGAACCGUGGCGUCCCUUUCCGAAAACCUAUAGUAUUAUUUGGAAAUUUUGCGUCAUUGUUAUUGUUCCAAAAAUCGUUACCAGAAGGUAUAAAAGAUAUGUACGAGUGGUUCAAAGACGAGAGGUAUUUUGGAGCGUUCCGUGUUAUGUCGCCUGUACUGAUCCUACGGGACCCAGAUCUCGUGAAAGACAUUUGCGUGAAAAGCUUCGCUUGCUUCACGAACCGUGGAAUACCGGUAAACUCACAGAACUCGUUAUCCGCCCACUUGUUCAACCUAGAAGGGAAAAGAUGGAAGAGCCUAAGAUCCAAACUGACCCCAGCCUUUUCAUCCGGCAAAUUGAAAAGAAUGUUCUACCUGCUAGCCGAGUGCGGCGAGGAGUUUCAAAAAUUAAUCGACGCGUCCUCCGAGACCCAUCGUCCAUUUGAGAUUCGCGAGCUAGCGGCGAAAUUUACGAUAGACGUCAUUGGCAGCUGUGCUUUUGGCAUACAAAUAAAUGCUCUCACCGAUGAGGAAUCCGAGUUUCACAGGACUGCUAAGAAACUCUCGAAACCAAGUUACACAGCUACCCUCUGGAGAAUGCUCAGGACAGCCAUGCCAAAAUUGUACAAAUUUUUGGAUGUUCAAGUGAUAGAUCCUGAGGUAAGCAAAUUUUUCAAGAAUGUAGUGUCGCAGAUGAUUAACGAACGAGAGGAACAUGGUAUUAAGAGACACGACUUUAUGGACCUGUUAAUUGAAUUGAAAAAUAAAGGAUCAUUGGAUGAGUGUGGAAGUGGACAAGUUUGCAAUGACGAAGAUGAGAAAAUUACUGAAGAGAUAGAAUUGGACGAGAACAGCAUUGCAGCGCAAGCGUUUGUGUUUUUCGCUGCCGGUUAUGAAACGUCCUCGAACACCAUAGCUUUCUGUCUUCACGAGUUGGCGUUAAAUACAGAAAUUCAGGAAAAAACGAGACGCGACAUACAAGACGCCAUUGACAGCAGAAAUGGCAAACUGUCUUACGAUGCUAUCCAAGACAUGAAGUAUCUUGAUAUGGUUAUUGCAGAAACGCUACGGAAAUAUCCUCCAGCUCCAAUGCUAUCCCGAAGAUGCGAGCACCAAUACCAAAUACCAGGAAGUAAGGUUGAAUUACCAGUAGGCAUGCGGGUAAUCAUACCGAUUUAUGGAUUUCACCAUGAUCCAGAUUAUUACCCGGAUCCAGCAACAUUUGAUCCCGAAAGAUUCACAGAAGAAAAUAAACGAACCAGACAUCCUUAUACGUAUCUUCCAUUUGGCGAGGGACCUCGAAAUUGCAUAGGUAUGCGGUUCGCAUUGCUACAAAUCAAAGUGGGGGUAAUUUCGUUUCUCAGAAAGCACAGAGUGGAAACAUGCGAGAGAACGAUAACGCCGAUAAAAUUUAGUAGACGAAGUCUCGUGACAACUAGCGAAAAAGGAUUCUGGCUUAAAAUCAUACAAUACUCUUAAACUUGCAAAAUUUAAAAAAGAACACCACCAAUGUCUGUUGUGUACUUAAAAUACCUCAAAGAAAUUAUCAAUAUUAUUAACUACCUUAGUAUUAAUGCGGCCAGUAGGACAAUUUUAAUCUCACUUUUUAUAUUUUAUUUUUUUUAUUCUUAUAUUUCAUGAAUAUUUAUCAAAAAUUGUUAGUGUUACUUUCUACAAUAUUUAAUUUUCAGUGAUAUUUUAGGUUACCAUCAGUAAUAUAUUUAUAAUUAUUAGUAAUUAUGAACAGGAUAAUUCACUUUGUACAUUCUUAAUGGGUCGUAUUUAUAGUUAGUGUUAUUGCACUAUUUUUGAAAAUGAUAUUAUUACACAAAUGAAACAUUUAUAUUUUUGUAAACAUUUUAUCCAUUAGACAUUAUAAUGUAUUAAUAUAAUAAAUAUCAUACGUGUAUUAAUACACGACAAAUAUCUGAAUCUGUGUAUGUGUUAUUAUUAUAGAUAAUAAAUAACCGAUAUGAGAAAGAGA